GUCGGGAAUGUCCUCAUACAGUAAUUCAAUGUACUCAUCCAUGUCAUUGAUAUUGGCAACUUCAUCAAUCUCCAUGCCUUCAAAUGGUGGUGGAUCUUUUGGCUUACUGGAUUUCUCUUUCUUUUCUUUUCCUGCUGACGCAUCUCUGCGGUUCUGUAGAUAGUAUAACAGCUGUUCUACUUCUGCAAGUUUGGAGGGGUGAAUGAGCUUGCAUUCUUCAACCACCUUUCGAGCCAGGGAAGCAAUGUCUGUAUUUGCAUUGAGACUCUUUAGCCGAAUGAUUUUCUGACACUCUUUGCGCUCCCCCAGCAUAGGGUCUCCUGUCUCCCCCAGAAUUGUUGCUUCCACUUCAUAAUGGACAAUGAGGGCUUUCUCUGACGGAUGCACAUCUAUGUUGCCUCCUUUUACCUUCCUCUUGAGGUACCGGGCGUCCUCGCCCUGCAUGGCGCCGGGGACGGCUCGGGCAGGGCGCGGCCCCGCAGCGGUGCUGUUAC
rnacentral:lncRNA from 1 species